CAGUGCCCUCAGGACUCCCUUGGACGGACUUCUCUUUGUUUCUGCGUCUUUCCCCUGGAAACUUUUCCACCCCUUCUAGCGCCACGCCUUUGCAGCUGGGGGUCUCCACCUACGUCAGCUUUCUUCCGUAGAGAAACUUUAGGAAUGACUCAAGCCUUUGGUUCCAGCCUUCGACCGGACAGAGUUGCCCCGACUCCGAUGCCGUUCAGACACGAGCCCCCAAUGAGAAAGCAGCCCCUUGUCCGGUAAAUUCUCAGGCCGUGAUCUGACGGCGCGGGAAAGCUUCUGUACGGGGUGUGAAUGUGGCCGGUAAGAGCGCCUCGUUUUCGAAUGCUACGAUCAGGCAUUUCUCUUCUCUGAAUGUCACAUUUCUCUAGUUGUCUCUACUUUUUCUGCAUGUUGUCUUCACGCGGCUAGAAAAAAAAUUGUAUGUGGGUAAGGGAAUGGAAACUCAAAAUUUGCAACCAUGGCAAAUGCCGAGCCGUCAACGAGCUUAAACUUUUUUGAUAAGAUACUAACGUCGUUUAAUCCACCACUUGGCGCCCGCUUCCAACGCUCCGAGGUGACACUAUUUUCCAAAAUAGUUAUCUCAACAACGAUAUAGAUUGAAUACAUCAUAUCAUAUAGCUAAUUCUAAAAAUGUUUGUUGAGUUUCAUAAUCCACUCAGAACGUGGGGUUCUUGAUGAAAUUGAUAAAUUCAAGCUGCAAAUAGUUCAGUCACCAAAGCAGUAGCGAUUGCAAUAUCAUCUAAUUCUUGCUGAGGGGGCUUCUGAUAUUGCUCUGAAAAACACAAUUUAGUCACUGUUCUGAGAAAUUGAGAAUCUGCUUUUUCUGAUUAGAAAGAAGAUUUUCGAAGGCUUAGUUUCUUAUAUCAAUCAUAUCUUCAGUGUUGGAAUAGUAUUUCACUAGAGCUGUUUAUUGAUAGUACAGUACAUUUAAUUGAAUGGAUGUAGCCUGAGGCAGUCCAAUUCAGGC
rnacentral:sRNA from 1 species